ACCCCUGUGAGAAUGCCCUACAGCUCCCCGCCCGGGAACAAGGAGCCGGUAUCAGGCCCACAUUAGUGAACCCAUAACACCUUGCUUAGCCACACCCUCAAGGGAAUUCAGCAGUGAUAAACAUUAAGCCAUAAGUGAAAGCUUGACUUAGUUAAAGCUAAGAGGGCCAGUAAAACUCGUGCCAGCCACCGCGGUUAUACGAGAGGCCCAAGUUGAUACCAUUCGGCGUAAAGAGUGGUUAGGAUAAACAAAUACUAAAGCCGCACACCUUCAAAGCUGUUAUACGCACCCGAAGGCCAGAAGCUCAACCACGAAGGUAGCUUUAUAACCCUGACCCCACGAAAGCUUUGGCACAAACUGGGAUUAGAUACCCCACUAUGCCUAGCCCUAAACACUGGCACAAUACACCACACACCCUGCCCGCCCGGUAACUACGAGCACCAGCUUAAAACCCAAAGGACUUGGCGGUGCUUUAGACCCCCCUAGAGGAGCCUGUUCUAUAACCGAUAACCCCCGCUAAACCUCACCCUUCCUCGUUUAUUCCGCCUAUAUACCGCCGCCGUCAGCCUACCCUGUGAAGGCCUAAAUAGUGAGCACACUUAGCACAAACCCAAAACGUCAGGUCGAGGUGUAGCGCAUGGAAGGGAAAGAAAUGGGCUACACUCCCUACAACAGGGAACACGAAUGAUGUACUGAAAACUUUUACAUCUGAAGGAGGAUUUAGUAGUAAGUGGAAAAUAGCAUGUUCCCCUGAAACCGGCUCUAAAGCGCGCACACACCGCCCGUCACUCUCCCCAAGCACCCCUUUUAAUAACUAAGACCCCCUCUACUGCAAAGGGGAGGCAAGUCGUAACAUGGUAAGGGUACCAGAAGGUGCACUUGGUAAAAU
rnacentral:ncRNA from 1 species